AACGAACGCUGGCGGCAUGCCUAACACAUGCAAGUCGAACGAGAUCUUCGGGUCUAGUGGCGCACGGGUGCGUAACGCGUGGGAAUCUGCCCUUUGGUUCGGAAUAACAGUUGGAAACGACGGCUAAUACCGGAUGAUGACGAAAGUCCAAAGAUUUAUCGCCAGAGGAUGAGCCCGCGUAGGAUUAGCUAGUUGGUGUGGUAAAGGCGCACCAAGGCGACGAUCCUUAGCUGGUCUGAGAGGAUGAUCAGCCACACUGGGACUGAGACACGGCCCAGACUCCUACGGGAGGCAGCAGUGGGGAAUAUUGGACAAUGGGCGAAAGCCUAAUCCAGCAAUGCCGCGUGAGUGAUGAAGGCCUUAGGGUUGUAAAGCUCUUUUACCCGGGAUGAUAAUGACAGUACCGGGAGAAUAAGCUCCGGCUAACUCCGUGCCAGCCGCCGCAGUAA
rnacentral:rRNA from 1 species